rnacentral:rRNA from 1 species
ACGAACGCUGGCGGCGUGCUUAACACAUGCAAGUCGAACGGUGACCCAGAGCUUGCUCUGGCGAUCAGUGGCGAACGGGUGAGUAACACGUGGGCAACCUGCCCCUGACACUGGGAUAACUCCGGGAAACCGGGGCUAAUACCGGAUAUGACCGAUUCAGACAUCUGAUGUCGGUGGAAAGAAUUUUGGUCAGGGAUGGGCCCGCGGCCUAUCAGCUAGUUGGUGGGGUAAUGGCCUACCAAGGCGACGACGGGUAGCCGGCCUGAGAGGGCGACCGGCCACACUGGAACUGAGACACGGUCCAGACUCCUACGGGAGGCAGCAGUGGGGAAUAUUGCGCAAUGGGCGAAAGCCUGACGCAGCGACGCCGCGUGAGGGACGACGGCCUUCGGGUUGUAAACCUCUUUCAGCAGGGACGAAGCGAAAGUGACUGUACCUGCAGAAGAAGCACCGGCUAACUACGU